rnacentral:rRNA from 1 species
UACGUAGGGUGCAGGCGUUAAUCGGAAUUACUGGGCGUAAAGCGUGCGCAGGCGGUCUUUUAAGUCAGAUGUGAAAUCCCCGGGCUUAACCUGGGAACUGCGUUUGAAACUGGAAGGCUUGAGUGUGGCAGAGGGGGGUGGAAUUCCACGUGUAGCAGUGGAAUGCGUAGAGAUGUGGAGGAACACCGAUGGCGAAGGCAGCCCCCUGGGCUAACACUGACGCUCAUGCACGAAAGCGUGGGGAGCAAACAGG